ACUCUUAUCAAAGUAGCGAAAUACCUCGUCACUUAAUUAGUGACCUGCAUGAACGGAGCUAUGAGGUUCUCACUGUCCCAAACUGUCUCUCAGCGAACCAACUGUAGUGGGAACGGUCACUAGAUAUCCAGCGGGGAAAGAAGACCCUGUAGAGCUUCACUUUGGUCUAGUCUUGUAUAGUUCCUGCGGGGGUGUAGACUAGGUGGGAGAGCAAUCGAUUCUGAAAAACCACUACCCUGUUUGGAAUUAUGCUUACCUAUCACAAGGAAUAGGACUAGAUAGAAAGUUUGGCUGGGGCGGCACACCUUCGAAAGAGCAGCGAAGGUGUCCUAAGUUGAGCUCAGUGAGGACAGAAAUCUCACGUUGAGGAUAAGGCCAAAAGCUCAAUUUACUGUGCCUUUUUGUACUAGGAUCAGUUACGAAAGUAAGGCCUAACGAUCCCUAAAUAGCCUCAGGUGCGUGAGGAUUGGGGUGACAGACAAGUUACCUCCGGGACAACUGGCUUGUGGCUGCUAAGAGAUCAAAUCAACGCAGCUUUUUGAUUCUUCGAUGUCGGCUCUUCCUAUCCUAGUGAUGUACAAGUUGCUAAGGGUCGGAUUGUUCACCCGUAUUAGGGAUCGUGAGCUGGGUUUAGACCGUCGUGAGCCAGGUUUGUUUUAUCCUACUGGAUAUAGCAUCAUGAUAGUAGAUUGAUUUAGUACGAGAGGAACUGUUGAUUAUGGCCUCUGGUUAGCGAUUAUCGGAAACGGUAUGUCGCGCAGCUACGCCGUCUGGGAUAAUGGCUGAAAGCCUCUUAAGCCAGAAGCCCAUCUAGAAAGUGAUGCACGUGAUGUUGGACCGAUACGAAUAAUCAUACUCAAAAGGUCCGCUUCAUAGGUAACCCCAAUGUAGAAGACAUUGUGUGAACGAAGGUACUGUAAGCAGUGGAGUGGCAUUACGUCCACGACCUGUUG
rnacentral:ncRNA from 1 species